GAGUCCAAUCAGCCUGUUGAGCUCCAGCUGUUGUAUCAGCAGCCUGCAGGGCUGUCAGCAGACCUGCAACUGUUAACAGAGAACUUCUAAAGUGAACUGCGAGGGAACAAACCCGUGAAACACAUCCAGCCAUGACCUUACAGCUUAAAACUGAAGCUCGACUCUUUGACCUUCACUGCUCUGUCAGCCUGACGGACUGGGACAUGGACAAGGAGCUGAAACUGGCAACGACCACAGACCAGUUUUACCACGAUGACAAACUGAAUGAUCAGUACGUGGUCCAGAGGCCGUCUGCAAGAGCCUCAAGAAGAAAAGAUGAAUUCAUUUGGUACGAUAAAACGUCAGACACCUUUGUGAAGCCAAACCUGUGGCUGCUGGUGAAUCCCAACAUCGCCUGCCCGAUCCAGUACGGAGAACAUACAGGAGAUCAACAAACUCUCUGUGAACCUGCUGAGGAAAUCCAAACACCUUCACUGAACCCUGCAGAGACCCAACGUCAGCUCACCUCAGAGCUCAACAUGUUUACUCCCCAUAAUGCUCCUCUUCAGAUAAAGAACGAAGACGUCUCCUGUCAACCAGCCAAGAACAGACGCAAGGCAAGAACCACGAAGGCCAGGGACAAUAAAACCCUGAAGCCAGGGUGCUGGCCUCGUCCACCUGUGAACUACUGCAUCCUCAUCGCCUUAGCGCUCAAAAGCAGCCACACUGGGAGCCUCAAAGUCCAGCAGAUCUACACCUUCACCAGGCUGUUGGAGCUUCCUCAUGCUCCUCAUACUCCUUCCUGUCCACUCCCAGAGAGCACUUCCCCUUCUUUCAGACGGCACCAGAUGGCUGGAAGAACACCAUCCGACACAACCUGUGUUUCAACAGCAGCUUCCGCAAAACCUGCAACCAGCUGUGCAGAGACGGCAAGAGGAAGUCGUGUUUCUGGCACCUGACUAUGGAUGGCCACCGCCGGCUGAAGGACGAGAUCAGCAUGUUGACGGGAGAAUCCUUCAAGCAGCUGGAGAGGAGCAUGUCCCACCCAGAUGUAAUUCAGAGUUUAUUUGAACUCUGAUUUGAGGUGUAAAAGGCCUCAAAGAGUUAAAAUCAAUGCAUAAUAAAAC